AUGUUUUGAUGCUAUUAUAAAUAGAACUUUUUAAAAUUUUAAUUUUCAACUGCUGAUUGCUAGUAUAUAGCAAUACAAAUGAUUUUUGCAUAAUUGUCUUUGUAUCAAGUGAAUUAUUUCAUUUUAAAAUCUUUGUUGUAGUCUUAUCUCAGGUUAUAAAUUCUCAAAGGUAUCUGCAUGUUUUUCCCUUUCUCCUCAUUUCCCUUCUCAGUAAGAACCUGUAUAAACAUUUUUAAACUAAGUCAAAGGAACUAUCACAGCAGGGAUUUAUACUAAACAUGCAAAUCUAUUCAUCUUUUGGCAAAUCAAUAUUCUUUCCUCCCUGCUGACAAAGGAUAUCAUUAGCUCAAUGAAUGAGGUAUGCCUGCCAAAGCUUUUAAACUAAUCCAAUGGUUUAGUUAUGUUAACAUCUGUUAACAUCCACUAAGAGAUUUUUUUAAAACAUGUAUAUAUUUUAAGGCUCUUUAUUCUUGUCUUAAAUGAUGGUUUUAAACAUGUUAAAAUUCUACAUAAAUCUAUACAAUGAAUGUUCAAUUUUCCAUGGACAAUUUAACACAUGAACAUCUUAUUUUAAAUUUCGGUGUAAUCCUUAAUUCGUUUGGUAGGAAAGGAAAAAUGUACAACACUAUAACCUCUCUUUGAGUUUUAUCACAGCUACAUAUUUUCUUUUUCUUUUUCAACUUUUAUUUUAGAAGCAUGAGGUACAUGUACAGGAUUGUUACAGAGCUAUAUUAUGUGAUGCUGAGGUGUGGGUAUGACUGAAUUGGUCACCCUGGUGUACUACACAAUAGUACCCAAUAGGCAGUUUUCUAACCCUUGCCCCAUGGCUAUGUAUUUAUUUAUCAAAAUGUUAUUUCCUUGAAGUUGAAACACAUUACUCAACAUCAAGACGACUGUUUGGGAAAUUGUGAUAAACCAAGAUGGCAAAAUGGAAGGUGAUCCACUCAUAUUCCCACAUCCAUCCAGUCAAAAGCCUCUCUGUGCGAGUCUCAGAAUUCAGAUAGGAGUUUGUGAAACCCUGGUGGAAUCCAACACCUGGGGCUCUUCUGAGAGUGCAACGAUACCCAGGUGGUUGAUCCAUCCUGAGUUCAAACCUGGAAGCAGCUGUCUUCUGCCUGCCCUCAGGACAGUCCUCAACAUUAUGUCCCCUAUAGAUGGCCUUCUCCUACUACACAGGCUUUCAUGUAAAUUACUCAAGUGCUUAAACAGUUCCUUAUUGAAGGAAGGUAGAAAAAAGUGAAGAGAUACAACAAAGCAGUAUUGUAACUUAAAUUCAGCCACGUACGUUUGGCAAACACCGAAAAGAGAGUAGUGACUUAAUAAUUCAGGCAGUUCAGCCAUUGCCACACCAGAGAGCAAACACAAAAUGAGAUGUGAGUUUGCUAUUUCCUCAAAUGCUUUCAAUUCUUCAUGUCUCUUAAGAGUCAAACUCCCUGAGCUAUAUGUUAUUCUAUAAAUUCAUAAUAAAAAAUGUAACAAGGCAAAAUAGGUUUUAGAUCAAAUAAAUUAUCCUGAAAUGUGA